rnacentral:rRNA from 1 species
UACGAAGGGAGCUAGCGUUGCUCGGAAUCACUGGGCGUAAAGCGCACGUAGGCGGAUUGUUAAGUCGGGGGUGAAAUCCUGGAGCUCAACUCCAGAACUGCCUUCGAUACUGACGAUCUCGAGUCCGGGAGAGGUGAGUGGAACUCCGAGUGUAGAGGUGAAAUUCGUAGAUAUUCGGAAGAACACCAGUGGCGAAGGCGGCUCACUGGCCCGAUACUGACGCUGAGGCACGAAAGCGUGGGGAGCAAACAGG